rnacentral:rRNA from 1 species
UACGAAGGGUGCAAGCGUUACUCGGAAUUACUGGGCGUAAAGCGUGCGUAGGUGGUUUGUUAAGUCUGAUGUGAAAGCCCUGGGCUCAACCUGGGAAUUGCAUUGGAUACUGGCAGGCUAGAGUGCGGUAGAGGAUGGCGGAAUUCCCGGUGUAGCAGUGAAAUGCGUAGAGAUCGGGAGGAACAUCUGUGGCGAAGGCGGGUCUCUGGGCCGAUACUGACGCUGAGGAGCGAAAGCGUGGGGAGCGAACAGG